GCCAUUUCCUCAUCAUCUGACUGGAUAUCUCCAUACAUCCAUAUCCCGCGUCUAUCAGCACGUGCUUCAUCUUGGAACUUCUCCAAAUUAUCAAGGGCUACCUGUCUUUCCUUGGAGUCCCACUUCUUCCUCUUUUCGAUCCUAGCAAGUCCUUCCUGAACCAUGGACGCAUUUAUGCUGAUCUCAGAAUCCACAGCAACCAGGGUUACAAUGAGAAUUGGCCCAGUUCCCUGUCCUUUAACUUUUCCACCAGAAGUAUCCCUUUCCUCUACCUUAGCCCUGAACUCUUUUGAAGUGCUUAACGUAUGAGCACUCAAAUACUCGGCUGCUUCUGGACCACAAUCCUCUUCCACGUCUGGAACCUUAAUAUAUGCAAGACUGCACAGCUGAGCAAGACCAGGUGCCAAGGGCACUGAAGGGUCAAGAGGCCGUAACUGAC
rnacentral:misc_RNA from 1 species